AUCUAGUUGACGAGUUGCAAAUAGGACGAAACACACGUCAAACUGUAU
rnacentral:hammerhead_ribozyme from 1 species